rnacentral:misc_RNA from 1 species
AAAGUCGUAACAAGGUUUCCGUAGGUGAACCUGCGGAAGGAUCAUUAAAAAAUUAUAGAAUUCAUUUUCUGUAAACCCAAUCUGUGUAUUUGUACCUGUUGCUUCCGUGAGACUGUGAACGCAAGUUCCCUCCGGUGCCGUUCUUCGGAAUGGAUGCUGGGGAGUGCUCACGGGAGGUAAUCAUAAACUCUGUUUUUUUUUGAACUCAGUCUGAAUAUUGUUUUUAAAUAAACUUUAAAACUUUCAACAACGGAUCUCUUGGUUCUC